UAGGGUCUCACUCUGUCAACCAAGCUGGACUGCAGUGAUGUGAUCAUGGUUUACUGCAGCCUUGACCUCUCAGACUCAAGCAAUUCUUCCAACUCAGCCACCAGAGUAGCUGGGGCUACAGCAAUCUUGAGGCUAGAGGCAUGAUCUUCAAAAAGCUGAGAUAAUAGCAGGAAUAACUUCUUUUGAUCCAGGAAGUACAUGUGCAAGAUUGCUGUGUGGGUAUAUUGCAUGAUGCUAAGGUUUGGCUUACUAAUGAUCCUGUCACCCAAGUAGUGAACAUAGUACCCAAUAGGUACUUUUCUAACCCUUUCCUCCCUGUGUCCCUCCUUCAAUUUGGGAUCCCCAGUGUUUGUUGUUCCCAUCUUGUGUCCAUGUGUAUUCAAUGUUUAGCUCCCACCUGUAAGUAAGAACAUGUGGUAUUUGGUGUUUAUGCAUUAAUUUACUUAAGAUAAUGGUCCAGCUGCAUUCAUGUUGCUGAGAAGGACAUGAUUUUGUUAUUUUGUAUGGCUAUGUAGAUUCCAUGAUGUAUAUAUACAUUCUCUUUCUCCAAUCCAAUGUUGAUGUACACCUGGGUUGAUUCCACGUGUUUUACUAUUGUUAAUAGUGCUGUGCUAAACAUAAAAAUGCAGGUGUCUCUAUGGGAGAAUGAUUUAUUUCCUUUUGGGUAAUAAAUUCCCAGUAAUGAGAUUGCAAGGUGAAA